UACGUAGGUGGCAAGCGUUAUCCGGAAUUAUUGGGCGUAAAGAGCGCGCAGGUGGUUGAUUAAGUCUGAUGUGAAAACUCCGGGCUCAACUUGGAGAUUGCAUUUGAAACUGGGUAUCUUGAGGACAGGAGAGGAAAGCGGAAUUCCUAGUGUAGCGGUGAAAUGCGUAGAUAUUAGGAGGAACACCAGUGGCGAAGGCGGCUUUCUGGCCAGUUACUGACGCUCAUGCGCGAAAGCUGGGGUAGCGAACCGGAUUAGAUACCCCGGUAGGU
rnacentral:rRNA from 1 species